UAACCCUAACCCGCCGCCGCCGCCCACUCCAUCGCCGUCCCUCCCAAACCCUACUUCUGGCCGGCACGUUCUCCCCUUCCCUGUGCGCCGCCGCCCUACUUCUCUUCCUCCUCUAAGUCGUUGUUUCCAUGGAAGCGGUCCGGCCUGUUCAUUGCAGGAUCUAGCAGUCUGGCCGCAUGGUGGUCGGUGCUGCCGGAUCUGGCGGUCUGGCCGCACUGGGGGUCGAUUGUUGCUGCAUUUGGCUGCUCCGGGCCUCAUCAACGACGCCCAGGUUGUUCGCCUCCCCAUCGCCACUUCCCCAUCAUCAUCUCAUCUGCCUCCCCCAGAUCUACUGAGAGGGUAAGCCCGAGAGUAGCCGCCUGUCUCCUGAGGAGUUCACUCCCAACGCCACUGCCUUCGGAACACGGUCCUCUUCUUCAUGGCAUCGAGUUCAAGCAGGUCAACUGCGAGCUGCAUCGAUUCCUCUUCUUCGUGGGGUCUGCACCUUCUCAGAGUGCAGUCCUGCAGCACCUGCCAAUGUGGAGGACGGAUGGCGGGGUCCUGGUAGAGCUGCUCUACGUCGGCCCUGUCGAGCUCAACCACUAAUUUUUCAACCACGCGUUGCACCAUCACUUCCUCUACACUCACUACCAAUGGAGGUGGAUUAUAAUGUUGUGGCGAUAAUAACACCAACCUUACAGCCAUAUCGUUUACGAAUAACUCUGACAAGGUUUCCCAAAGGUACACAAGUUCACUAAGGUUUGGAGGAUCUUCAAGCUGCUGGAGAUUUAGAAGAUCUUCAAGCUCCUCGAGAUUUGGAAGACCUACAAUUAAGUUGGAGUGAUAAUGUCGUAUGUAUUGUUUGUGAACCCAAAGACUUGCUCUGCUCAUUUUGGUUGUGUGGCACACAUCUAGAAACAUAUGUACAUCUCCUCUUGUGGCACUACUUUAUUUUGGUUGUGGCAAACAUAAAUGUACUUUUGUGGCUCAGCCUCCAUAUAUAUGGGUGUUUUGUUUAUUGAAUGAAGUUUAAGAUUUU